rnacentral:rRNA from 1 species
CCUACGGGAGGCAGCAGUGAGGAAUAUUGGGCAAUGGGCGAGAGCCUGAACGAGCCAAGUCGCGUGAAGGAUGAAGGAUCUAUGGGUUGUAAACUUCUUUUAUAUGGGAAUAAAGUGAGGAACGUGUUCCUUUUUGUAUGUACCAUAUGAAUAAGCAUCGGCUAACUCCGUGCCAGCAGCCGCGGUAAUACGGAGGAUGCGAGCGUUAUCCGGAUUUAUGGGGUUUAAAGGGUGCGUAGGUGGUUGAUUAAGUCAGCGGUGAAAGUUUGUGGCUCAACCAUAAAAUUGCCGUUGAAACUGGUUGACUUGAGGACAUGUGAGGUAAGCGGAAUUCCUGGUGUAGCGGUGAAAUGCGUAGAUAUCACGCAGAACUCCGAUUGCGAAGGCAGCUUACUAGACUAUAACUGACACUGAGGCACGAAAGCGUGGGGAUCAAACAGGAUUAGAUACCCUAGUAGUC